UACCUCAUAGUAUAGUACUUUGGCAUCAAGGAACUAUUAAAGUCACAACGGCAAAAGAUGAGCAUGCGUCCCAUUAGCUAGUUGGUAAGGUAACGGCUUACCAAGGCUACGAUGGGUAGGGGUUCUGAGAGGGAGAUCCCCCCACACUGGUACUGAGACACGGACCAGACUCCUACGGGAGGCAGCAGUGAGGAAUAUUGGACAAUGGGCGCAAGCCUGAUCCAGCCAUGCCGCGUGCAGGAUGACGGUCCUAUGGAUUGUAAACUGCUUUUAUACAGGAAGAAACACUCCCUCGUGAGGGAACUUGACGGUACUGUAGGAAUAAGGAUCGGCUAACUCCGUG
rnacentral:rRNA from 1 species